rnacentral:tRNA from 1 species
AUUUAAAUAAUUUAAUAAAAUAUUGAUUUGUGGAAUCAAAAUUAUAUGUAAAAUCAUAUUUUAAAUA